UACGGGGGGGGCAAGCGUUGUUCGGAAUUACUGGGCGUAAAGGGCUCGUAGGUGGCCAACUAAGUCAUACGUGAAAUCCCUCAGCUUAACUGGGGAACUGCGCCUGAUACUGGUUGGCUUGAGUUUGGGAGAGGGACGCGGAAUUCCUGGUGUAGCGGUGAAAUGCGCAGAUAUCAGGAGGAACACCGAUGGCGAAGGCAGGUCUCUGGGCCGAUACUGACGCUGAGGAGCGAAAGCGUGGGGAGCGAACAGG
rnacentral:rRNA from 1 species